UACAGAGGUCUCAAGCGUUUGUCCGGAUUUAUUGGGCGUAAAGAGCUCGUAGGCGGCUUGUCGCGUCGGCUGUGAAAACCCGCGGCUCAACUGUGGGCGGGCAGCUGAUACGGGCAGGCUGGAGUUCGGUAGGGGGAGACUGGAAUUCCUGGUGUAGCGGUGAAAUGCGCAGAUAUCAGGAGGAACACCGGUGGCGAAGGCGGGUCUCUGGGCCGAUACUGACGCUGAGGAGCGAAAAGCGUGGGGGAGCGAACAGG
rnacentral:rRNA from 1 species